ACAUCACGACUACCUAUUGGAAACCAACUGCGACCAAGUGACGUAGUGACAUGGCCCUUCAGCUGAAUCCUUGUUUAUUCCCCAUCAUCUAUAAGCCUCUAGUGGUUUUCACCAAGGGGAAGUGCAUGUGGCAGUUAGGGAGCAACAUAGACAACUAUUGGUGGAGAACAAAGCUAUAUCAAUGAUUUCCUAGCUUAGACUGUCUGUUAACUAAUUAUUGAUUUUUGGCUUGCUGAAACAAAAUUAGUGAUUACACUGUAUUAAUGCAGGUUCCGUGUCUUGGAACUACAAAUCUCUUGCUUGGUGGAUGGAUCGAAUACACUGAUACAUAGACUAAGAAACAAGAAGAUCAAAAUCACCAUUGUCUAGGAACAAAUAUGUGUAAAAUAAAAUAAAUGUACUAUCUGUGUUUAAUGUGUGAUAUGUCUGGAAUUGUCUAAGUGUGUAGUUGAGGGAGACGAAAAUGAUGGAGAAGGGAUGGACUAUCUUAUAUAGUCUAGGGUUUUCUAAGUAGGCUGAUUUGGGCUAUUGAACAUGUUGCGACUAGGAGACAUGCCUCUUAAGGAGAUUAUUUCCAGAGGUGGAAUUCUUAAAAACCUGCUUUUUCAAUUUUUAGAGACAUGCUAUUUUU
rnacentral:lncRNA from 7 species